rnacentral:rRNA from 1 species
AUGAAAAUCGUUGGAUGGAACUGCCGGGGGCUCGGGAAUGGCCCGGCAGUUCGUAGUCUCCUCGAUCUGGGGAGGGAGGAGGAUCCUGACAUAGUGUUUCUGGCGGAGACAAAGCUGACAGAGAAGGAACUGGAGAGAUUUAGGUGGACCUUGGGGCUGGCUCACUUAAUAGUAUCAAGCUCCGAGGGGAGAAGUAGAGGAGUGGCUCUGUUUUGGAGACGGGGUGUUGAUCUGACGCUGCGAUCGUUCGGAAGGAGGCACAUUGAUGCAGAUGUGGAGGAGAACGGAAGGGUGUGGCACCUGACGGGGGUUUAUGGGGAGUCAGAGGCGGAGAGGAAAGUGGAGACGUGGAGGGUGAUGAAACUACUUGCUCAACAGCAUCAAGCAGGAAGGCCGUGGCUGUGUAUGGGUGACUUUAAUGAAAUCCUAUCAACGGAUGAAAAAUCGGUGGCGCUGUCAGGCCACAGCGACACAUGGAUAGAUUUAGAGAAGCGUUGGAGGCCUGUGAGCUGUGUGACAUUGGUUAUGAGGGGGACAAAUACACGUGGAGGAACCAUAGCAAGAAGAUCAAGUCUUACAUCUGCGAGAGGUUGGACAGGGCUACGGCUAACGCCUCAUGGUGCGAAUGGUUUCCUGAGUUCACAGUUAUAA